UACGUAGGUGGCAAGCGUUGUCCGGAAUUAUUGGGCGUAAAGCGUGCGUAGACGGUCAUGUAAGUCGGGUGUGAAAGCCCCGGGCUCAACCUGGGAAUUGCAUUCGAGACUGCAUGGCUAGGAUGCGGAAGAGGGAAGCGGAAUUUCCGGUGUAGCGGUGAAAUGCGUAGAUAUCGGAAGGAACACCAGUGGCGAAAGCGGCUUCCUGGUCCAGCAUCGACGUUCAGGCACGAAAGCGUGGGGAGCAAACAGG
rnacentral:rRNA from 1 species